rnacentral:rRNA from 1 species
AACCUGCGGAGGGAUCAUUACACAACAAAAUAUGAAGGCCUGGCUUCGCGGCCGGCUGAAAUAUUUUUUUCACCCAUGUCUUUUGCGCACUUGUUGUUUCCUGGGCGGGUUCGCCCGCCACCAGGACCAAACCAUAAACCUUUUUUUUAUGCAGUUGCAAUCAGCGUCAGUAAAAACAAUGUAAUUAUUACAACUUUCAACAACGGAUCUCUUGGUUCUGGCAUCGAUGAAGAACGCAGCGAAAUGCGAUACGUAGUGUGAAUUGCAGAAUUCAGUGAAUCAUCGAAUCUUUGAACGCACAUUGCGCCCUUUGGUAUUCCAAAGGGCAUGCCUGUUCGAGCGUCAUUUGUACCUUCAAGCUUUGCUUGGUGUUGGGCGUUUUUUGUCUCCCUCUUUCUGGGAGACUCGCCUUAAAACGAUUGGCAGCCGGCCUACUGGUUUCGGAGCGCAGCACAUAUUUUGCGCUUUGUAUCAGGAGAAAAGGACGGUAAUCCAUCAAGACUCUACAUUUUUAACUUUUGACCUCGGAUCAGGUAGGGAUACCCGCUGAACUUAAGCAUAUCAAUAAG